rfam:Theobroma cacao cultivar Matina 1-6 unplaced genomic scaffold scaffold_39, whole genome shotgun sequence.
AAGUUAGCAAUGAUUAUAAAAAUAAUUCUUUGUUUUGACUUACUUAACUUGGGUAUGACAAACCUCCUAUUGCAACCAUAGAAUCUGAGUUAC